CCACGUUGCUGUGGAUCUGUAAUAUCAUGUACGUUAUAUGAGAUAAGGAUAAUAGAUUUCCUUCUGUAAAGGACACUAAAGAAUCAAACAGUUGUUUAUGUCUAUCAAUGUUAGUUUCACUGUAACCAUUACCAAGACUAGCUUUCAAUUCCAUUUGUUAAUAAUUGAGUUUAAAUUCCAUCAGAUGCCAUGAUAGGAUUUGAACCAGUGUCCCCAGAUCAUUAGUCUGGGCCUCUAGAUUUCUACUCUACUGAUACUAUCACUAUCCAACCAUUUCAUCUUAACAGCCUUGAGAAGACAAUGCUAAUGCAAUCAAGAUGUUUUGCUCUAAGCCAAAAUAUUUGAGCAUCAAACUGCCCCAAAACAUUCCUAUCCAAAGAACAUGACAGUGAACUCUGUACGAAUCUUUCGCACAACACAGAAAAAUGGCUCCACAAGGCGGGCAGUGCUUCUUCGAGGUUUAUUCCUCUUGCAUAACCCACAGGAAGAAUCUGGUCAUUCAGGGACAAGAGCAGAAUUAAAGAUUCUGUCGUUUGGCAUUUCCAGCAAAGAGCCUGUGGUUUCCAUGCCUUUAGUUUAUUGAUACGCAUUUCCGGUGACCACUAUCUCCCACCAGCAGCGCUGGAUCAUCAAGUCACAUUGCUGUUUUGCUCUACAUCCAGCUGAAAUUGCCAACAUUGAAAACUGUAUUUCACCAAUCUAAGAAUUGCAGCCUAUAUCGCCGAGACAGGGAUAUUUUAUCAGCCACUGUCCCGCUCAUGUGUCCCUAUCUCCUUUUAUCACUAUCGCUGAGGAAGGUAACAGGGAUAAUGGCAGGUUCAGCCGCUGGCCAUUACUGCAACAUGUUUUGAACGGCCAAAUCCCUUCUCGAGUUGCUUCACAGGAGUUGAUUCAAGUUCAUAGUUGCUCCAUGUAUGGUUGAUUUUCAAUCACCAAGACUUUAACAUCUUUUACUUCUUGCUGCUAGGGACUGUGUCUUUGGUGCUGUCCUUUGAUGACUUUCUUCUACCGCUGGGUUAUCAUUUGCUGUCUACACUUGUUAUUCCAGUAGGACUGAGAAAAGAUUGUGCCUUGCAUAAAGAUCUGAAAAGAUUUCUGCAUCCAACGUGUUGGUAUCUCUUUAGAUAAACUUUCCUGAAUGCAAAGUGCCAAGAAGUUGGAUCAGGUCCAUCGUAGAGUGAGUUUGGAGCUUGGAUUGACCUUAUCUUUCAUAAGAACAUUUGAUUCCCAAUCACAUCAUCGAACUGCCUCUUGAAUGAGCUCGCACCUCCAACCACCUGAUGAAGGAACAGCGCUCCGAAAGCUAGUGCUUCUAAUUAAACCGGUUGGACUAUAGCCUGGUGUUGUGUGAUUUUUAACUAGAUGAGGGAAGGUAAUUUCAGACAUGUUUAUUUGGGAAAAGGAUAUUACCUUUAAGAAGCAACAUGGAACAUGAAUGCUAUGCCAUCACAAAAUGAAUCCAGAGUCAGGUGACUUCUGGAUUGAACAUUGAUAAAUCCCCUGGAUCAGAUUAUGUAUAUCCCAAAAUUUUGAAGGAGGUGGCAAUAGAGAUAUUGGAUGCAUUGGUAGUUAUUUUUCAAAAUUCUACAGAUUCUGCAAAAUUUCCUUCAGAUCGAAAGGUAGCAAAAGUAACCUCAUUAUUUUAAAAUGGGGGGAGGGGCGUGUGGGGACAGGGAGAAUUCAGGAUUGCAGAUAAUGUUAGUAGUUGGAAAAAUGCUAUAAUCCAUUGUAACGGAUGUGAUCUUACCGAUGCUUAACAUAACUGAAGAAGAAACUCCCUACUUCUGCACACAAU